GGUUCCCUUCAAUAAAAACACAAAACAUUUUCUUACUGUGAAGGUUUACAAUGUCGGCGUCGAAAUUUGCUAUAUUAUGUAUUGUUCUCAUUUGUCUUGCUAGUCUUCAUGAAUGUAUGUGAUAUAUAGCUUACUUCCAUCCAAUCAUCUAGCAUCAUUACCAUUAAAUUAAUAUUAAUAAACUCCAUCAUCUUUUAAUUUGUUUUAUUCUUUAAACUUUAUGCAGGUGCCAAUCUGGAAAAAAAGCCCAAAGGAACAUGCUCUAAAACACCAAAGAAUGUUUGGUGUUGCAGUUCCACUACACACUGCCGAAGCACCAAAGCGGAUUGUGAGAAAAUUUGUAUCUGGUAGUAUCUGGGGCCGUUGAAUUUUUCUGAAGAGAAUUUCUAUAAUUAUAUAUUUCAAUUAUUUUCAUACUUCUAUUAUUCAAAAUUUAGAUAAUAAAUAGAAAUUCCUAUUCCACAUGAGCAGGAGCAGCUAGUAUUAUGUACUUAAUGUUUUGGAAUUUCUUUGAAAGAUCAAUAUAUAUAGUUGUCUUUCUCACUUUCUUCAAUUGUAUUUAAGAAGUUUAUAAAUUUUAUACAAAAUGAGAAUAAAACCACAGUAGACUGUUUAACUG
rnacentral:lncRNA from 1 species